ACAAAAGACGGGCGGUGACCCCCUCCCGUCACACACACAUGGUCCGGUCCGGUCCGGUCCGGUCCCCCCCGCCCCGUGCUGUGUCAUCCCGCAGCCUUACCGGGCCGCGCUGUCAGGGCCGCACCGGGAGCCGCAUGGACGCCGCUCUGAGGCUGAAGAGUUGGCAUCACAAAACUAGGAUUUCUUCCAAACCGCCACUGGGACUCCCUACGGACAUUCUGGAAAUGGCAGGACUCUUCCUUGGGGUUUUUGAAGAGCCUUUCUCGGAUGAAUAACAGAACCUGCAGAAAGGUUAGCAUCAAAAUAGCUGUGGAGCAAGAGCAUCUGUAGGGGACACGUAGCCAGGGGUUCAGUGUCACCUGCUCUGUGCAGCUGUCCUACGGCUAAUGCAAGAAUCUGUGUUCUGAAAAGGUCAAAAAGGCAAUUAAAGAGACAAAAGUCUAGCCCUUUCCAGAACUGAAGCAGAUGUUCAGCCAAAACAUUUGCCUGUAAGAUUGUAUUUCCUUAAGGUUUAUUAACCAUUAAGUGUUUUUAGGGACGGGAUCUUAAAGAUAAUGAACUGAACAACAAGUAUAGUCAGGAUUCCUUCGCAAAUUAUUCCUGUUGGGUUAGACAAGAGUUUGAAAAGCAAAAUGCUUUGUUAUGAUUUUACAGUGAGAGGAGACCCCGAGCUUGGCCCUGGCAGCUCAUCUCUGCUUUAACUUGAUGGUAGAGCCAGGUAACUGCUGAGUUAAGGGAGAGCCAAGCAGAGCAGUUGCAUUGAACCAGCAGCAAAGUGGUCUACUGUGAGGGUGCUGAGGCGCUGGCACAGGGUGGCCAGAGAAGCUGUGGCUGCCCCAUCCAUGGCAGUGUUCAAGGCCAGGUUGGACACAGGGGCUUGGAGCAAGCUGCUCUAGUGGAAGGUGUCCCUGCUGUGGCAGGUUGUUGGAACUAGAUGGAUUUUAUGGUCCUUUCCAACCCAAACCAUUCUAUGACUCUAUGAUUUGUAAGGACCUUGCAGCAAUGCCAGCUUAAAGGAAUUCUGCUCUCCCCACCCUGGCUGUGCACUACAGUACUAUCACCUUGUACUCUUCAGUUGUCCCAGCACUAAAGUAGGCCAGUGAACUGAUGAAGCCUAAAAAUGAAGAGGGAGGGGAUUUGAAGUGGGAUCUGGUGCACAGAACUGUUUCAGUUCAUUAAGUUUUCAAAUGCAAUCAUGUUUGAAAUCAUUAUUUUUCAUCUUGUUUUGUGAUAAGACUAUAUCCUUUUCCAAGAACAUUCCCUAGUAACUAUUAAUAUAUGCUGAUUUCCAGCUAAAUAUAACACUUUGCUAAAUUUUGGGUUAGUAGAUGGCUAUGUGAUCAAAGUGAAGGUUGUGGAAUAUCCAUUACUGGAAAUCAUAAUAACACACGAGAUGAAGCUGUGCCAAAAAUCACAGCUAACCUUGCCUUGGGUGGAAGGAUGGAUGAGCUGAACAGCCAAGCUCCCUCCCAGCUCUAUUCUGCUGUGGCUCUAGGACAGAAACACAUAUUUAGGUCACCAUAUAAAUGAAUACCCAGUUUUCAGAAUUUUAAACGUAGAUGUUUUAUACUAUAGAACAAUGGGUGUUUCACAUCUAUUUACUCAUUUGUACCUAAUCACAGAAUUUAGUGGAAUUCAACUAUAUUGCAAUAGACAAACGAACUACUAAUUAGUUUAUUCAAAUUCAUUCUCAU
ensembl:lncRNA